rnacentral:rRNA from 1 species
GAAAACUACCAUGACGCAGUGCGACCUGGGGACUUAGUGCUGGACGUUCGGCGCUCAAGCUUUUCUUAUGCCUAAAAAGCACGAGGAAUAAGGGCUGGGUAAGACCGGUGCCAGCCGCCGCGGUAAUACCGGCGGCUCAAGUGGCGAUCGUUGUUAUGGGUCUAAAGCGUCCGUAGCCGGCCAGGUAAAUCCUUAGAUAAAUCGAACAGCUCAACUGUUCGGCCUCUUGGGAGACUGCUUGGCUUGAGACCGGGAGAGGUUAGAGGUACUUCUGGGGUAGGGGUGAAAUCCUGUAAUCCUGGAGGGACCACCAUGUGGCGAAGGCGUCUAACUUGAACGGGUUUGACGGUGAGGGACGAAGGCCAGGGGCGCAAACCGGAUUAGAUACCCGGGUAGUCCUGGCUGUAAACGCUGCGGGCUUGGUGUUGGGGGUCCCGUGUGGGCACCCAGUGCCGAAGAGAAGUUGUUAAGCUCGCCACCAGGGGAGUACGGUCGCAAGACUGAAACUUAAAGGAAUUGGCGGGGGAGCACCGCAACGGGAGGAGCGUGCGGUUUAAUUGGAUUCAACGCCGGACAACUCACCAGGGGCGACCGCCGGAUGAGGCUCAGCCUGACGAGCUUGGCCGAUAGGUGGAGAGGUGGUGCAUGGCCGUCGUCAGUUCGUACCGUAAGGCGUUCUCUUAAGUGAGAUAACGAACGAGACCCUCGCUUUUAAUUGCUAUCGCAUCCUCCGGGAUGCGAGCACAUUAACGGGACCGCCGCUGCUAAAGCGGAGGAAGGUGGGGUCAACGGUAGGUCAGUAUGCCCCGAAUCUCCUGGGCUACACGCGCGCUACAAAGGAUGGGACAGAGGGUUCCACGCCGAAAGGCGACGGUAAUCCCGAAACCCAUUCGUAGUUCGGAUUGAGGGCUAACUCGCCGUCAUGAAGGUGGAUUCCGUAUACGUAG